rnacentral:rRNA from 1 species
UGGGGAAUAUUGGACAAUGGGCGAAAGCCUGAUCCAGCCAUGCCGCGUGUGUGAAGAAGGUCUUCGGAUUGUAAAGCACUUUAAGUUGGGAGGAAGGGCAGUAAGCGAAUACCUUGCUGUUUUGACGUUACCGACAGAAUAAGCACCGGCUAACUCUGUGCCAGCAGCCGCGGUAAUACAGAGGGUGCAAGCGUUAAUCGGAAUUACUGGGCGUAAAGCGCGCGUAGGUGGUUCGUUAAGUUGAAUGUGAAAGCCCCGGGCUCAACCUGGGAAAUGCAUCCAAAACUGGCGAGCUAGAGUAGGGCAGAGGGUGGUGGAAUUUCCUGUGUAGCGGUGAAAUGCGUAGAUAUAGGGAGGAACACCAGUGGCGAAGGCGACCACCUGGGCUCAUACUGACACUGAGGUGCGAAAGCGUGGGGAGCAAACAGG